GUUUGGGCUUUGGAGACCACAGUCAAUGUUGGCCUAUCUGCCCUUGGGGGAUGUGGUUCCCCUCUGAGGGGAAACUGGGGAAAUCAGUAAGUAUUGAAGAGAGUGCCUCUGUGGGGCUCAGCCCUGGGGGCCCCUGCCGAGGGUUUAGGGUAGUCCAGCCCAUCCAAUAAUAGCAAAGCUAGGUUCUCAGGGCAGUGUAGGCAGGCCUCAAAGGCAUUCGGCAAAUAUUUACUGAGUGUGCAUUAUAUGCCAGGCACUGGGACACAGUAACGUAUGAAACAGACAGAAAUUCCUACCCCUGUGGAGCCUACAUUCUGGCAGGUGGAGGCAAAGAUCAGCAAGGAGACACAACAUGUACUUAGAUGAGCAAAAUAUGUGGCACAUCAGAGGGGAAAGGACUGAGUGAAGGGAAAAAUGCUAAGUGAUGGGGAAGGAGGCUGCUGUUUAAAAUAGGUCAGCCAAGGAAGACCUAGGGAAGAAUCUAGAACGGGGUGGGGGUGAGGGGAACAAGGUCAAUGUCUCCAGCUUUCUGGGAUUUUGUCCUCAAGGCAGGUCGAUCCCUGCCUUGGAGGGAGCCAUGGAGAUGGAUGUGGGCAGGCGUGUCUGGGACCUUAAGAGUGUCCCUGUCACAGCACGCCCUCCCCUCCCCACCUCCCUCAAGGGCUCUGGCUUGCUAAAGAGCCUAACUCCUAGGGGUCAUUUGUGCGGAGGAGCAUGCAAAAAGGGCAGAAGCCCGAGCAGACUUGGAGAAGGCAAAGGCGACGUGAAUGGCUCUGGAUGUUGGGCUUCUCUGAGCUGUUUCCCUGGAGCAGCUGGUGGAAGGCUCCCACAAAAUGAGGAUUACAGACGCUUGCGCCGGCUCAAGCUGCCCCAGCACUGGGUGCCUCUGCCAGUGCCUGGCCGCCAUCUGCCCUCCAUCCUUCCUAGAGCCACUCUCUCCUGGGAGGACCUGCUCCCGCACAUCUGUCUGCCUCGUCCUGGCAUCUUCCCUGCGUGGGGGGAGCCCGUUAAUUGA
rnacentral:lncRNA from 1 species